AUCGCUUCUCAGCCUUUUGGCUAAGAUCAAGUGUAGUAUCUGUUCAUUUAAGGGCUCCAAAGUCCUUGAGGAGAAUUAAAAACUUUGUCAUCUUGGGCUGGAGCGCCAAUAGCUCCU
rnacentral:snRNA from 1 species